rnacentral:rRNA from 1 species
UACGUAGGGUGCAAGCGUUAAUCGGAAUUACUGGGCGUAAAGCGUGCGCAGGCGGUUAUGCAAGACAGGUGUGAAAUCCCCGGGCUCAACCUGGGAACUGCAUUUGUGACUGCAUGGCUAGAGUACGGUAGAGGGGGAUGGAAUUCCGCGUGUAGCAGUGAAAUGCGUAGAUAUGCGGAGGAACACCGAUGGCGAAGGCAAUCCCCUGGACCUGUACUGACGCUCAUGCACGAAAGCGUGGGGAGCAAACAGG